rnacentral:rRNA from 1 species
GACGAACGCUGGCGGCGUGCUUAACACAUGCAAGUCGAACGGAAAGGCCCUGCUGUUGUGGGGUGCUCGAGUGGCGAACGGGUGAGUAACAAGUGAGUAACCUGCCCUUGCCUUUGGGAUAACUGCAAGAAACUGGGGCUACUACCGGAUAGGCGCUCCUGCUGCAUGGGGUGGGUUGGAAUGUUUCGGCGGUUGGGGACGGACUCGUGGCUUAUCAGCUUGUUGGUGGGGGAGUGGCUUACCAAGGCUUGGACGGGUAGCCGGCCUGAGAGGGUGACCGGCCACAUUGGGACUGAGAUACGGCCCAGACUCCUACGGGAGGCAGCAGUGGGGAAUAUUGCACAAUGGGCGGAAGCCUGAUGCAGCAACGCCGCGUGCGGGAUGACGGCCUUCGGGUUGUAAACCGCUUUCGCCUGUGACGAAGCGUGAGUGACGGUAAUGGGUAAAGAAGCACCGGCUAACUACGUG